UACAGAGGUCCCAAGCGUUGUUCGGAUUCAUUGGGCGUAAAGGGUGCGUAGGUGGCGCCGUAAGUCAGGUGUGAGAUUUCGGAGCUUAACUCCGAAACUGCAUUUGAUACUGCGGUGCUUGAGGACUGGAGAGGAGACUGGAAUUUACGGUGUAGCAGUGAAAUGCGUAGAGAUCGUAAGGAAGACCAGUGGCGAAGGCGGUCUCCUGGGGCAUUCUUGACGCUGAGGCGCGAAAGCUGGGGGAGCAAACGGG
rnacentral:rRNA from 1 species